rnacentral:rRNA from 1 species
GAGGAAUAUUGGGCAAUGCCCGCAAGGGUGACCCAGCAACGCCGCGUGGAGGAUGAAUGUCGUAAGAUUGUAAACUCCUGUUAGAGGGGAAGAAUAGUACCGGUUGGACCGGUAUAUGACUGUACCCUCAGAGAAAGCCCCGGCUAACUACGUGCCAGCCGCCGCGGUAAUACGUAGGGGGCAAGCGUUGUCCGGAUUUACUGGGUGUACAGGGCGCGCAGGCGGGAUAAAAAGUCAGUGGUGAAAUCCUACAGCUUAACUGUAGAACUGCCUUUGAUACUUUUAUUCUUGAGUUCGGGAGAGAGAGACGGAAUUCCAGGUGUAGUGGUGAAAUACGUAGAUAUCUGGAAGAACACCAGUUGCGAAGGCGGUCUCUUGGUCCGACACUGACGCUGAGGCGCGAAAGCGUGGGGAGCAAACA